rnacentral:rRNA from 1 species
AUACGUAGGGGGCGAGCGUUGACCGGAAUUACUGGGCGUAAAGAGCUCGUAGGUGGUUUGUCGCGUCGUCUGUGAAAUUCCGGGGCUUAACUCCGGGCGUGCAGGCGAUACGGGCAUAACUUGAGUACUGUAGGGGAGACUGGAAUUCCUGGUGUAGCGGUGAAAUGCGCAGAUAUCAGGAGGAACACCGGUGGCGAAGGCGGGUCUCUGGGCAGUAACGGACGCUGAGGAGCGAAAGCAUGGGUAGCGAACAGGAUUAGAUACCCUGGUAGUCCAUGCCGUAAACGGGGGGCGCUAGGUGUAGGGGUCUUCCACGACUUCUGUGCCGUAGCUAACGCAUUAAGCGCCCCGCCUGGGGAGUACGGCCGCAAGGCUAAAACUCAAAUGAAUUGACGGGG